rnacentral:rRNA from 1 species
UACGUAGGGAGCAAGCGUUGUCCGGAAUCAUUGGGCGUAAAGAGCGUGUAGGCGGCCCGGUAAGUCCGCUGUAAAAGUCAAAGGCUCAACCUUUGAAUGUCAGUGGAUACUGCCGGGCUAGAGUCCGGAAGAGGCGAGUGGAACUCCUGGUGUAGCGGUGGAAUGCGCAGAUAUCAGGAAGAACACCAACGGCGAAGGCAGCUCGCUGGGACGGUACUGACGCUGAGACGCGAAAGCGUGGGGAGCGAACAGG